rnacentral:rRNA from 1 species
UGAACGCUGGCGGCAUGCCUUACACAUGCAAGUCGAACGGCAGCACGGGUGCUUGCACCUGGUGGCGAGUGGCGAACGGGUGAGUAAUACAUCGGAACAUGUCCUGUAGUGGGGGAUAGCCCGGCGAAAGCCGGAUUAAUACCGCAUACGAUCUACGGAUGAAAGCGGGGGACCUUCGGGCCUCGCGCUAUAGGGUUGGCCGAUGGCUGAUUAGCUAGUUGGUGGGGUAAAGGCCUACCAAGGCGACGAUCAGUAGCUGGUCUGAGAGGACGACCAGCCACACUGGGACUGAGACACGGCCCAGACUCCUACGGGAGGCAGCAGUGGGGAAUUUUGGACAAUGGGCGAAAGCCUGAUCCAGCAAUGCCGCGUGUGUGAAGAAGGCCUUCGGGUUGUAAAGCACUUUUGUCCGGAAAGAAAUCCUUGGCUCUAAUACAGUCGGGGGAUGACGGUACCGGAAGAAUAAGCACCGGCUAACUACGUGCCAGCAGCCGCGGUAAUACGUAGGGUGCGAGCGUUAAUCGGAAUUACUGGGCGUAAAGCGUGCGCAGGCGGUUUGCUAAGACCGAUGUGAAAUCCCCGGGCUCAACCUGGGAACUGCAUUGGUGACUGGCAGGCUAGAGUAUGGCAGAGGGGGGUAGAAUUCCACGUGUAGCAGUGAAAUGCGUAGAGAUGUGGAGGAAUACCGAUGGCGAAGGCAGCCCCCUGGGCCAAUACUGACGCUCAUGCACGAAAGCGUGGGGAGCAAACAGGAUUAGAUACCCCUGGUAGUCCACGCCCUAAACGAUGUCAACUAGUUGUUGGGGAUUCAUUUCCUUAGUAACGUAGCUAACGCGUGAAGUUGACCGCCUGGGGAGUACGGUCGCAAGAUUAAAACUCAAAGGAAUUGACGGGGACCCGCACAAGCGGUGGAUGAUGUGGAUUAAUUCGACGCAACGCGAAAAACCUUACCUACCCUUGACAUGGUCGGAAUCCCGCUGAGAGGUGGGAGUGCUCGAAAGAGAACCGGCGCACAGGUGCUGCAUGGCUGUCGUCAGCUCGUGUCGUGAGAUGUUGGGUUAAGUCCCGCAACGAGCGCAACCCUUGUCCUUAGUUGCUACGCAAGAGCACUCUAAGGAGACUGCCGGUGACAAACCGGAGGAAGGUGGGGAUGACGUCAAGUCCUCAUGGCCCUUAUGGGUAGGGCUUCACACGUCAUACAAUGGUCGGAACAGAGGGUUGCCAACCCGCGAGGGGGAGCUAAUCCCAGAAAACCGAUCGUAGUCCGGAUUGCACUCUGCAACUCGAGUGCAUGAAGCUGGAAUCGCUAGUAAUCGCGGAUCAGCAUGCCGCGGUGAAUACGUUCCCGGGUCUUGUACACACCGCC